CAGCAUGUUUCCAAGGUUUAUGGCUGGUUGUGGGCCUGUGUCUCCACAUGCAGGAAGAAUAACCUGGAGAGACUGACACACAGGUCAGGUCAGCACCACACCUGUGGCCGCCACUCAGCUUUGCUUGUUUG
ensembl:snoRNA